UUGAGAAUGGAGACAGGCUAUCUGUUGAAAGGGAACGAGGCUCAGGUGCAAACGGAAGAUGGUUGAGUACCUUCUUCUUGUUUCAGAUGUUUGGCUCAAUGGAUCCAAUAUCUGAAGCAAGAGGUGGCAGGUCAAGAGCUUUGUCAAGGCACCGUCGAUCCACUGGACCUCUAUCUAGGCGCCGCUAUCCUUGGGGUGAAAACCUUCUUGGUCUACAAGACCACAACAAUAAUGAAGAUGAGGGUGAACCUGAUGUUAACAUAUUGAGUGGUGAUAUGUCUAAUAAUCCAAGAAGGCGCAGGCGGUUGAUGCGGUCUAGGUCAGAUGAAGAUCAGCAGUAAGACCUUCUAAUUCAUGGGAUUGUAUUAAUGGUCCGUACAGGAGGGGACUGUUUACACUAAGAUUAAUUGGAAGUUUCUUGUAUUCCACUCUGCUACAGAAAGAUAGAGUGCAAUUCUUGACAAAAUUUAGAAACUUGUGUGUUGGAUAUAAUAAUUUAAAGGGUGAAAACAGGGUGUCCCUGUGAUUGUGGGUGGUAGUUUCAGAAUGUAAAAUUUCCAUUUGGUCUUUGAUUUCCCUCAACUCUGAAACAUUGUUCAUCUUAUAUUGUAUUUUCAUUUCUUUAUGCUUUGAUUAUCUUUGCCAAGAAAGAGAAGAUAAAGUGAAAUUGCAUCUAGUCAAGCAUCCAAUAUUCCAAUCAAUAUACUUGGCAAUUCUUUUCUUUAACAGUCGGAUAUUCAAUAAUAAUGUUCAUAUAUAUGCAAAUAAAGCACCAUUUAGGGUGAUGCAUGACAAUAUAAUUUGUUUCAAAAUAUUACUUUCUCUAGAAAAGAUUAACCACUUUUACGUUUUUUACCUACCUUUGUUGUUUCUAGUAACAUCACAUAUCAGGUGUUCGCGCCAGUGCAGACUCAACGUAUGUUAAUUUUUUUUUUGUAAUUUAUAUGACACAAAUGAAAUUUGAAAAAGUAAACUAAAUUUUUAUAUGUAUUUUUAAAAAAUAUUUUAAAUUGUUAAUUUAUUUACCUUUUGUAUCAUUUUCGAAUAAUAUAUGUUAUUACAUAUGUUUUAUUUUAGAAAAGUCAACAUAAUUUCUUAUACGAUUCUCACAUAUUUUUAGUUGUCAUUUACUAUGAUUCAUAAUACUUUUUAGUUCUUACUUAUUUUCAAACAAUAUAUGUAACUUUUUCUUUUAUGAUAAAAAUAAGGGAAUCAAUCAAAUUCAUUAUGUUUCUUUAACUAUGUUUUUCUAAAAAUAUUUUAAAUUGUUACAUUGCGAUUUUAAGUUUUUUUUUUUAUGUAUUCUUCAAGUAUGUAACAAAUUAGAAAUUUCAACGAAGAAUUAAAGUUUUCAAAUUAUUAUAUUUUUAUAUUAAAAUGUUUAAAUCUAUAAAACUCCACAUAUAUGCACUAAUUAAUAGAAGGAAGACAAUUAAUUUCUUUUUUAAAAAAAUACAUGAAAGCUCAUUUAAUUAUAACACACACACACGCACGCGCACACACCUAUUUCAUUUUUAAUAUAUGACUCCCUCCGUAUCGAUUUAUAUGAACUUGUUUUUUAUUUUAUUUCGAAAAGAAAAUAUUUUUUGAAUUUUAAUUUUUUUGUAUAGUAUAUUUAAGGUCAUAAAAUUAAAAAUAUUUCAAUACAAAAAGUUUAAACAUACAUAUAAAUUUCAAUUUUAAUUUUAAUAAUAUGUAAUUAUUAAAAGCUAAGCGUAAUCAUUAUUUAUUUACUUUCAUAUAAUAAAUAGAUAUCACAAUAAUUCAUAAAAUUUAAGAAAUAACAAAAAUGAGGUAAUACUAAUAAUAAUAACUAAAGAUGUUUCUAGAACUAUUUAAUUUUCUUGUUAUCAUUCUUCGUAGAUUUUUCCUUUCAUGAAAUUAUAUUUUUACCUUUGAUCAUUAUUCACUUCAUAUAUAGAAAGAUGUUUCUAGAAUUUAUAUUUGUUAGAAUGAAAUUAGAUUUUUAUUCUUGGUCGUCUUUAAUACAAAUAUAUCAUCCUAUUCAUUGUUAAUUGUAAAGUUACUUUUUAACAUCUUUUUCUUUAAUUUCAGUCUAACAUAUAUUAUUUAUUUUAUCACACUUAUUUAUUUUCAAAUAUAUUAAUUAGAGCCAAAUACAGAUGGAAAUAAUUAAUUCAUGAUAAAUUUUUAUAUAAAAAGUAGGCAUUUUUAUAAGAAUAAUGAAUAGAAUAAAUAUUAAGAAUUAAAUUAAAAUAAUAGUAAAAUAUAGUAAUAAUAGAAUAGAUGUCACAAUAACUCACAAAAGAAAAGAAAAAUGAAGUAAUGACAAAAUAAGUUAAUGGUAAUAACAAUACUUAAGAUGUUUCUAGAACUAUUUAAUCUUUUUAUUAUCAUUCUUGAUAGAUUUUUGUUAGCGUGAAAUUAAAUUUUUGCCCUUGAUCAUUAUUCACUUCAUCUAUAGAAAUAUGUUUAUAGAAUUAUUUAUUAUCUUUCUUAAUAGAUUUACGUCAUUUUUGCCCUUGGUCGUCCUCCCACUUCACUCUUCUGUACGAUAAACUAUAUAAUAGAAAUUUUUUGUUAGAGUGAAAUUACAAAUUUAUCCUUGAUUGUCCUACCACUUCACUCUUCUAUAUAAUAGAAAUAUUGUUAAUUAAGUGAACCAAUUUAAAGGAUAUACUUUGAGAUAGAAUAGUAAAUUGUUUAUGAUUGAAGUUAUGAAAGGACAACAUCGUUUAUUUUCUUUGAAAGGACUAUUUAUUUAGAGGAAAAUUUUUAAAACAAUAAUAUUAUAGUAUCUAAUAGGAUCUCUUGUAACACUUUCAAUAUUUAUUUAAAAUAACAAUAUUUUAAUUUGCUAUAAGAUUGACUUUUGUAUUUAUUUAAUUAGAAAAAAUAUAAAUUUUUAACAUGAGAAUGGAGAAAAUUAUGGGAGAAAAUAUUUUAAAAAAGUUAAAAGUCGCUUAAAUCUUUAAUUACUAAUUAGUUACAAUUGGAAAAAUAUGAUGUGUCAUCACUCUUUUGUUCUUUCAAACACCUUUCACCAUUGUUUUACAUAUUUUCAAUAUCCAUUUUUGAAUAACUCCAUUGAAAUUGAAUUUAAGUUUUCCUUGAUUUGCCUCACUUUUGUUGGAUUUUUUUUUUUUGAAUUAUUCAAUUGUUAUUCAAAUCCCUUUGUCAAUUUUUAGUUCUUUAUUGAUAAUCCUUAUUCUUCGUAGAAGUCAAGUUGAUUGAUCAUCGUUUAUGGACAAAUCUCCUGUAAGAAUUAUAAUUUUUAUUUGUCAUAAGGCAAGAAUCAGUUUUUUUAAAAAAAGUUCAUCAUCCUUCUAUCCUAAAAAAUAUAAAAUUUCAUAACGAUCAAAAUUAUGUGCAUCAUCGUUAAUAUUCAAAAUUGUAUCUGCUCAUCAUCGUUUUUCUUGGAAAAUUCAAAAUUGUUGAUAGAUUUGAGAAGCAAUUUUGAAAUACAAAAGUAAAACAAUUCAUCUGCGGUGUUCCUACAAAACUCGAAAUUGAUGAUUGAUCAAAGAAAUUAAUUGAAAUAUACAAUUAAAAAAAUCACAUUUAUUUUUCAAGAUAUGAUCGAUCUCGUAUUAUCUCAAUGAAUUCAUCAAAAUUAGUGGUGAUGCAGCAUGAGAGUAGAUAUUUGAAAUUUUAUUCAAAUACAAUUUUUGUUGUUAUAUUGUAUAUUGAAUAAUCGGAAUACAAUUAGUUUGGAUACAAAUUUGAUGAUAUUAUGUAUUGAAUAUAAAUUUAUUUUGAACAAUAAUUUUGAUGAUGUUAUCCCUAUUCUAUAUUGAAUUAUUAUGAUUUUAUAUAUUGAAUGAUUGGAGUAUAAAUUUGAUUGGAAUACAAAUUUGUUCAACAAUUAUAGACAACAACUUAUAGAAUACAAUUUUUAAAAUAUAAUUUUUGGAUACAAAUCAGGUUAGGAUACAAUUUUUCUUAAAUCGAAAGUUACAAACAAAAGUGAAUAAUGAGUUUAAUUAGGAAACAAAUUUUUAAAUACAAUUUUCGAAAUACAACUUUUAAAAUAUAAAAUUAGUUUAUAAUAUAUUUUUUUGCUUAACCAAAAGCUAAAAAAAAUUUACACGAGUACAAAUAAUUGAUAUACAACAUAUAAAAUACAUUUAUUUUAAAUAUAAUACAGUUAAUAAGUGAAUGUAAACAUAACAUACAAAAUGAUUAAUUUGAAUGCACAAUAUAAUAUGCUUGAAUAAAUAUAAUCUUGCUGAAAAAUAUAAUUAAAAUAUAAAAAAUACAAUAUAUAUACUAAUCUAAAUACAAUUUAAAAAAUAAUAUAUAUCAUUUUAAUCAUCUAUGUUUUCAUUUAAAUAAAUACAAUAUUCUGAACAUACAAUUGACAUAAAAAAUACAACUGAUAAAUAAAUUAAGUUAAGUAUGAAAUUAAAUAAAUUAAAUAUUAACUAAAGUUGAAAAAUGUAAACACCAAAAUACAAAACCUACCCUGAAUAGUAACGAGAUCUACUUACAAAAAUUUUAAGCUCAAAAGGAAAUUUACUAAAUAAAUAAUUAUGAAGUUGAAUAAAUUUGGACACAAAAAUAUAUAAACAGUCAAAGAAAAUAAAAAUCAAAACUAAAAAUUUCUGAUAUUAACCCAAUAAAUGCAAAUCAAAAUAAAGUUAUUCAAUUAAAUGAGAAUAUGAUGCAAAUAUUUAUUUUGAUCUUUUUCUAUUUUAAUUUUAAAAAAGAAGAAAGAAAGAAUCCGAAAGCACAAGAAGGUGAAUAAAAUUGAUGAAUAGAUAGAAAGUGAAAUUGAUGAGGAGUGACGAUAUAAUGUAUUUUAGAAGAAUAAUUAUAAAUAUAUAUUUUUCUAUAAAAAUAAUAUAUGAGAGAAAACAUGUGAUUAAUAUGAAAUAAAUAGGAACUAAACUAAGAUACAUUAUAUUUUUCAAAAUAUUGACAUAAUGACAUUUUUAAUAAUUAUUUUAAAGUGUUAUUGCUUCUAACAAUUAUAAUUGAAAUUUUGACUAUUUAGCUAAUAGGAGAAAAUUCACAAAUCACGACACUUUGGGAUUCUCUCGUCCCUUGCUCUCUUUGAACAACAAUGUAUCAUGCACAUGGAGUCCACCAACAUAGAUAUUAUAUAUGAUGCCUUUCAUAUAUAUCUGUUAUAUAAAUGUUUGAGUUCCACAAGAAAAAGAGAAGAUUUAAAAGUGAAAAGAGUGACACAACUUGUAUUUAUGAUACAGGUUGCUUUACAUUUUUUACAAAUAUUUAUUAUCAUUAACAAAAGGGAAACUUACAUAAAUGUGCUAUAAUAAUAAAAUAUUUAUUAUUUAUAGCAAUAAUAUUUUUUUUCACUUGAUCGCUUUUAAUUCAUUUAUAAUACAAUUUUAAUACAUAUUAUAAAGAACAAUUUAUUAUUCACAUAUAAUAUAUAUUUUAAUGAUGGAUAAUACAUUUAUCGCACAUUUUAAUACACUUAUAAUACAAUGUGACCAUUUUUUACCAAACAAACACAAUAUAUUUCAAAAACAAUUAUAAUUUUAAUAUAUUACAUAAAUAAUUCACUUUUAAUACAUAUUACAGAUUUAUCACAAUAUUACUAUAAAUGGUAAUAACCAAAAAGUAUAGCUAAAAUAAGUAACUAGUUUUUAAAAUGAAUUAAUUUAUAUAAUUUUUCCUUAAUAAAAGCCGCUUACAAACUAAGAAACAUUCAAACCUCAUUAGCUAUAAUGGUAAAGUGGGGAAUGGCCUCAACACCAACAUCUCUAAAUACAUAAUUUCAAACUCUUGUAUCUAUGUGCUCUUUUUGUAUUCUUGUACAUUUGUAUCCUCUCUACAAUUUAGUAUAAUCUAUGAUACAUGUUACUUUAUAGUUGUAUCUAUGAUACACUUUGAAUUUCACAAGAACAAUAAAGAAGAAGAGGAAUUUCAAAAACAAAGAAGAAUUGAUACUUUCCAAGUUUUUCUUUUUAUACAAAUUGUGUUUAUGAUACAUGUUGUUAUACAUAUGUAUCUAAAGCGUAAAGAGUAUGAUACAUCUGGUACCCCUCUAUAUAUAUGGUACAUGUUUUUGAGAAAAUGUGAGCUUACAAGCUCACCAUUGAUACAUUGAAUCUAGACAUGAUUUAGAAUGGGAAGAAGAGAAAAUUUUAUUGAUUAUGAACAUCUGUUACAUGUGAAUGCAGCCUCAUCCUUUUAUAGAGGAAUCAAAUCAUAGAUACUCUACCUAACAGAUGUCAGCUCAUGUCACUAAUCAAUUCACUAAUUUGUUACUAACUAACUUGUAACUAACUAAUAUACAAUGAACACCAAUGCAGCAGUAACACUAACAAAAUAGUAAAUGUAACUAACAAACUAAUUUGAACCCCCCCCCCCUCCCCUCAAGCUGAAGGGUGAAAAAUGUUGAACACACCAAGCUUGCCCAAAAGAUGUGAAUGUUGAACUUGACUCAACCCUUUUGUCAAUAAAUCUGCAAGUUGUUGUUGAGUAUGAACAUAGACAGUGUCAAUGACCCCUUCUUUGAUUUUAUCUCUAAUAAAGUGACAAUCUUUCUCAAUGUGUUUUGUCCUCUCAUGGAAGACUGGAUUGGCUGCUAAUUGAAUGGCUGAUUUGCUAUCACUCAGGACAUUGAUAGGCAUUUGAAUAGGCACUCCUAAUUCAGUGAACAAGCCUAGCAACCAAGUAACUUCAGAUACAGCCGAGGCCAUACUUCUAUACUCAGCUUCACCUGAACUUCUGGACACUGUAUGUUGCUUGUUGGACUUCCAAGAGAUCAAAGACUCUCCAAACUUAACCACAUAUCCUGUAAUUGACCUCCUAGUGAUGGGGCAAGCUGCCCAGUCAGAAUCACACCAGCAAGACAAUAUAUUAGUAGGUUUAGAUCUCAACCAAAUACCUUGACCAACUGAUCCUUUCAAAUAUUUAAUCACUCUAGUGGCUACUUCCCACUGCGACCUCUUAGGAGAUUACAUGAAUUGACUAAGAGUUUGCACUGCAUAGCUAAUGUCAGGUCUAGUGAUAGUGGCAUAUAAAAUCUUACAAACUAGCCUUUGGUAUGCAGUAAUAUCAUGAAGUAUAUCAUCACCAGUUAAACCAGUUACUAGAUCAUGCUCUACAGAAAUUAAUCUCAGAUUGGAUUCCAAUGGAGUUGGUGCAGGUUUGGCACCAAUAAGACCUGCCUAAGCAACAAGCUCUAAUCUAUACUUUAUUUGAUUCAAGAUAAACCUUCUGAUGAUCUCAAAACCUCAAUGCCAAGGAAAAAUUUAAGUUCACCAAGAUCCUUUAGCUUGAACUUUUUGUGCACUUUCUUUGGCUUCAGAGAUCAUCUGUGUAUUACUUCCUGUGAUGAGUAGAUCAUCAACAUAGACCGAUAUAAUCACCAACUCUUCACCUUUCCUCAAUGAGAACAAAGAAUAUUCAUGGGCACUUUGAGUAAAUCCAGAAGCUAGCAAGGCAUUUGUGAACUUUAAAUUCCAUUGCCUUGAGGCUUGUUUAAGGCCAUAUAGUGACUUAAGCAGUCUGCAUACUUUGUUAUCACCUGAUCUUUUAAAACCUUCUGGUAUCUCCAUAUAAACUUUCUCAUCUAAGUCACCAUGUAGGAAGGCAUUAUAAACAUCCAUUGGGUAUAAAUUCCAGCCUUUAGACAUAGCUAAUGCAAUAACACACCUGACCGUUACCAUUUAUUGCUACAAGUGAGAAAGUGUCAUGGUAAUCCAAUUCUUCUUGUUGACUAUAGACCUUAGCCACUAAUCUGGCUUUGAAUCUUUCUACCUUACCAUUUGCCUUGUACUUUAUUUUGUAAAUCCACUUUGACCCCAUAGUAUGCAUCCCAUUUGGUAAGUCAACAACCUGCCAUGUAUUGUUCUCUUCAAGAUCCUGGAUCUCUUGUUGCAUAGCUUGGAUCCACCUUUCAUCCUUGAAGAAAUUUGGCUCAACGCAAUCAGGGAUCUUAUUCAAAUAACCCUUGUAACCAGGAGUGACUUUGCUAGAACUAAGAGAAUUGACUAGAGGAUGUCUUGUACUACUUUUAUGCUUGCUUGCAGUAGUAUAGUCCUUCAUCCAAGUGGGUUUUUAGUGCAUCUUGAGGUCUUUCUAAUAGGAAGAUCAAAUGGUGGUAGUCUGACUAAAGUUACUGCUUUUUUAUCAGUUUGUGAGGUCUUAUCAAUAGUAGCAUGAUGAGAUAUGUCAGCAACUUUAGGAACUUCAGGAAUAAGGUCAUAUAUAAUCUCUACCACAUUUGGCUCACCAUCACUAGUAAUCACCUUAGUGUCAUGAAUGUGCUCAAUGUCAGGAAUAGGAGAAUGACUUUCUUGUAAAGGAGAAUCAUUGAAGUCAGGUGAGCAAGCUUGAGUAAAUGUAAAGAACUUCUCAUGAAACACUACAUCUCUACUCACAAAUAUUCUUUUGGUGGCAAUGUUUAAUAGCAUGUAACCUUUUGGGAUUCUGAGUAUCCUAGUAGGAUAGUAGGGACAACUCUUUUUGAAAGUUUAUUACCUCUUGGCAGCACUGAAGUGUAGCACAAACAGCCUAUGACCCUGAGAUGAGAAAUAUUUGGAUGCUUGGAAUAAAGUAGUUCAUAAGGACUUCUGUUUUGCAGUAGCUGAUUAUGGUAAUCUAUUCAUCAAAUACACAGUUGUUUUGAUACAAUAACCCUAAUACUUGAUAGGUAGUUGUGAUUGAAAUCCGAUGGCCCUGGAUAUGUUAAGAAUUUGCCUAUGCUUCCUUUCCACUAUACCAAUCUGUUGUGGUGUGUGAGGACAACUACUCUGAUGCAAUAUUCCUAAGUCUUGAAACAACUUGGUACACUGAGAAUUGAAGAAUUCAGUACCAUUAUCUGACCUUACAACUUUAAUAGUAGAACCAAGCUGAGUCUUGAUCAUGGAAAGAAAAAAUUUGAUGGCCACAAUACAUUCUGAUUUCAGUUGUAACAGGAAAAUCCAUACAAAUCUACUAUAGUCAUCUACUAUUUUCAAGAAGUAUUGUUUCUUAUCUAGAGUAGGUGUCUUGUAUGGUCCACAUAAGUCCAUGUGAACCAUAUCAAAACUACUAGUAGUUCUAGAAUUACUAACAGGAAAUACAAGUCUAGUUUGUUUAGCUAAUGGACAAACAUGACAAUUAUUAAGUACUUCACUCUUAUUGUUCUGAAUCAGGUUCAAAUGUCUCAUAGUCUGUUGGAAUGGAUAUCCAAGUCUUUGGUGCCAUAUUUUGAUGUCUUGAGUUGUUGCUUCUGCAAUUAUUGUUCCCUAUUACAAUGCACUGAUUUCUCUUGCUUUGUUGCUGCACUAUCUUUGAGAAUAUAUUAACCACCCUCUUCUCUACCAAUCCCCUUCACCCUGCCACUGAAGAGGUCCCGAAAGACGCAGAAGUCGGUAUAAAAAGAAACAAAACAUGACAAUUCCCUUAUGAGUUUGGACACUGAUAACAAACUGGACAUAAAGUUCGGUACAUGUAGUACAUUUCUCACUACUUCAUUGCUAAAUAUAGGUGUUUCACCAAUGUGACUAAUUUCCACUUUGUAUCCUAUGGGAAGAUCCAAUUGAUUCUUCUAUGAUUUAGUCAUAUCAUGACUCUUUGUCAAUAAAUGCUUGUAUGCUAUGAUAUGGUGAGAUGCACCAGAAUCUACUAUCCACUUCUGUGAAAAAAGUUUUGAUACUAGGCAAGAGUUUAUACCUGCCAUGUUGACCUGUGCAUCCUUGUUCAACAUAUCAAGUAUUUGUCUAUAUUACCUCUUAAUGAAUGUUUGUCCCUCUGCCAAAGGUGGAUGAGUUGUUGGAUUGCCUUCUCCUUGACUGGUGGAAUCUUCCUGAGAUUGUUCAUAAGCUUUUCCAAUUACCUGAUUAGCUGCAUGUUGUCCUCCAUAUCCACCUUGAUGUGAAUUUCUUGUAUUAUUUCCCUGUCCAUCAUUGUUUCUAUUUCCAUAGCCUACUUUCUUCUUCAGUUUCCAGUCAGUUGGAUAACUAAUUAGUUUGUAGCAACUUUCCUUAGUGUGACCAGUGUAAUGACAGAAUUCACACUUUCUCCCUUUGUAGUACUCCCUUCCAUGAACUUUAUUCACAUCCAUUAAUGUUGGAUCAGGUUUUUCGACUACACUAAUCAAGUUAGCUGUGUGUUGGAUUUCAUCUUCUAUAAUCAUAGCAUAGGCUUGAUUCAUGGUUGGUGUAAUUCCUUUAAACAAAAUUUGUCUACGUGCUUGGUAAUAGGAAUCAUUCAGUCCACUUAAGAAUUGAAUUAACCUCAACUGCUCGAGGUGAUCCAUAUAUUCCUUAGAUUGAAGGCAAUUACAACAAAGAUUUUGCGCCACAAAAUCAUACUCCCUCCAUAGUGUUUUCAGCUUACUAUAGUAAUGUGAUACAGAAUCCAUACCUUGUGUAAGUGUUGUAAUCUCUCUAUGCAGCUGAUAUAUCCUCAUACAAUUGACCUUGUGAAAUCUCUCUUUCAGGUUUGCCCAGAUUGAGAAAGCAGUUGUAGCAUAGACUAUACCAUUGAACAACUCUUCACUCACUAUAUUCAUCAUCCAUGACAACACAAUGACAUUGCACGUCUCCCACCGCAUCUCUUCUUUGUACAAUCCUCUUGUACAAGCACCACUUACAAAUCCAUAUUUCCUUUUCCCCAAUAGUGCAAUCCUCAUUGAUUAACUCCAGAUUCCAUAAUUCUCAAAUCCAGUCAACUUGAUAGGAAUCAACACUGAACCAGAAGCAUCAGAUGAACCAAUAUAUAGAGGGUCAUUUUGAUCAAUUUUGAUGGGUGACAUUGAUGUAUCUUGAAGAACCAUAGAAUGUCUUGACGGAGCAUAUAAUCGUCUAACAAGAAGAGAUCUAAACUAAGCUGUAAUUCUGAUCUAUGUACUCAGAACCCUGAGCUCUGAUACCAUGAGAAAAUGUGAGCUUACAAGAUCACCAUUGAUUCAUUGAAUCUACACAUGAUUUAGAAUGGGAAGAAGAGAAAAUUUUAUUGAUUAUGAACAUCUGUUACAUGUCAUGCAACCUCAUCCUUUUAUAGAGAAAUCAAGUCAUAUAACCUCUAAUUAACAGAUGUCAGCUCAUAUCACUAAUCAUUUCACUAAUUUGUUACUAACUAAUAUACAAUGAACACCAAUGCUAUAGUAACACUAACGGAACAGUAAAUGUAACUAACAAACUAAUUUGAACAUUUUUACAUAUAUAUCAAUGAUAUAAUGUUUGAAUUUCUCAAGAACAACUGAAGACGAUAAGAGGAAUUUCAUAAGAGGAGUAGUCUGAUAUAUUUUGAGAUUUUUUCUUGUAUUUAUUAAAUAGGUUGCUUUACAUAUGAUACACUCUUUGAAUUUAUAAAGAACAACAAAGAAGAAGAGGGUUUUCACAUACUAAGAAGAGUAUGAUACAUUUUAAGAUUUUGUUGUUAUAAUAUGUAUCUAUAAUAUAUGUUUUUUGACAUAUGUAUCUAUGAUAUAAUGAUUGAAUAGCUUGAAGAAAUAGAGAAUAUUCAAAUGCGAAUAAGAGAAGAUUCAGAAGUUGCCUCUAUUUUUAGGAAAAAAAGAGCAAUCAUAUAAUAUAUCCCAACCUUAUCUAGUUCACUAUAAAUGAUAUUACAACUUGAUAUCUAAGUUGUGGAUAUACAUGAAUUUUUCUUGGAAUCUAAGUUCUGGAUAUUCAUUAAUUUUUCUCUGAACGAUAUUAAUCAAUCUUUAUCUUUUUUGUUUUUUUUUUCACUCAGUUCCUCCUUAUCUUAUUGAAUUGUAAAAUACAAGUAAGUUGAAGGUCUUGAAUGAAGGUGUUAUAUAUAGGGGUAGCUCUCUGAUUCCAUCGAUUGUAAUCAUGUGAUGAAAAAUGUUAACAAAAGUAUUUCUUUUCGAGUCCAUCCUGUGCUUGCUUUGGAAGGAUCGUAUUACACUAAUGAGGGAGUUUGGUGCAAUUUUUAAGAAGCCCUUUGAAGGACAUGAGUCUUGAGUAAUCUAACUUGUAAAGGACGUGAGGAAAGUCUACAACAAUUGCUGAAUUAUCCAAGAGUUAAUGGCCAAACAAAUGUCUACUCUCUUGUGUCUAUUUUUUUUUUAAAAAUAGAAGUAACACUUAUUAGUGUAUCCUUAAUGCCUAGUGUCAUGGAUUUAGAGUCUAACUAAAACUCCGUGCGACUCUUGACAACUUACACACUAAUCUUUUAAGAUCUUGUAGGUUUUAUAUUGCUCGGAAGAUUGCUUAUACUUUAUUGGAUGAUUUAUAAAUGAGUGGCACCUUUAUUUAUACUAACACCUAGGGGUUAAAGUAUAAUUUAUAAUUACUUUACAAGUCCUUAAAGUAUUUACACUUUGGUCCCUUUCUAGAAUCAUCUACACUUUCUAGGGAAUUCUAAAUAUUUCCUAGAAAAUAUCUAGUCCAUCUUUUUAAAACUCUCCAAAGUCUUCUUGAAAUAUCUAAGGGUUUUUAGAGUUCUCUAUAGUCCUCUCUAAAACUCUAGACUCUUCAGCCCCAAUCCGAAUGCAAAAUCUUAUUGAGUAUUGGCUGGACGCAACAUGCUCCCCCACCUAUUAAUGUGAUGAUCGCGUCGCUUGGCCGCUGCAUAUGCAUCUGAGUCUUGCAUGCGCAACCAAUAGUCUGUUGACUCGAUCGAUGCCCUUGUGCAACCUCUCAGCUGCCUACCUAUAUCUAACUUGUUCUUAUGAUCUACCUCCAUCAUAGGAGGCAAACACCUCGGCGGCUCUUUUGGCAUCACAACCUUGUUCUUCUCUUUAACCUUCUUCAUGCACGAUGGUAAAUACCCUUUAGCACCAAUGUUUUCUUUCAAAUUUGCAAUAGUGGCUAGGAAUGUCGACUUUUCAUUUUUAGGGUUUUUCUUGAGCUGCAUAAUUAUUAGUCGAACUCGCCCUUCCAUCAUUGAAACCUUGACUAUGGGCACCACGAUGAUCCUCCUUGCUCCAUGACCAAGAGUAGAUGGAGGUACGAAUCGAUCACUGCGUGGAACUGCGGAAAGAAUUCUUGCCUAAGAAUUAUGUCAAAGAUAUCUAAAGGAGUGACAGUAAGUUGGUCUUACCUUGCCACUCGCCUAGCAAGAUUCUUACUCCAUACGCGACUCCACUCACGGGAGUCGGUGGUGCAUUAACCAUCCUGAGUUGGGCGUUACUUGGACUAUAACUUAGCCCCAACUUUGUCGCUACCGUCUUGGUCAUGAAAUUGGCCUCUACACCCGUGUCGACCAUAGCACGAGUGGGUCUUCAAUUGAUCGUGAUGUUGAUAUACUGUGCACCUUAUUCUCUUGGUUUUUAUGGUUUCUUGGUGAUAACUCUGUAUAGUCAUUCAAGCCCAACUAUGUCGUCUCUACGCCUUGACCUUUCUCUUGUGCAUCUUUCUCCUUCCGCUCUCGCAUGAUAGCACCAAGGUUCUUCAAUUCAGGGCACCUUGCAUAGCCAUGCGACUCUCCGCAUGUAUAGCAACCUUUUCUCUAUAUAGGCUCCGUCUUCUCCUCUGGCUCUGUUGGACUUCUCAUGCCUAAAGUUUGGCAAGGCUUCGACCUGCGUGAUGGCUUCAUCAAUAGUCCUAACUUUUCGGCGUUUCAACUCUGUCUUGGCCCAAUUUCGUAGCCCAUCCAUGAAGUGGAACAACAUAUCAUCAUCCGUGAGGUUAGGAAUUUGAAGCGUGAGGGUAGUGAACUCCUUCAUGUAUACGUAUAUGCUACUCGUUUGCUUCAACUCCCUAAACCUACGCUUUGCUUCUUAGAUGACGUUGUUAGGGAAGAACGCCGUCUUGAAUUCCAUUUGGAAUUUUUCUUAAGUGUCAAUGGUACAAAGUCCCUUUUCUAUUUCCGACUCUUUACACCUCCACCACAACAUGGCCAUCUCCGAAAGAUACAACACGAUAGUGUUGAUCUUAUUUUCGUCGCUCUUCAUUCGGUUACACUUGAAGUAAUUUCCAAGUGCUACAAAAAAUUCUCAACAUGCCUUUGAACAUAGGUGGCUUGGGAGCCUCGACCUUGGCCUCCCGAUCUCGUUCAGACAACGAUGAUCCUCCAACUUCCACUCCCUCUUUGAGUGCUUUCAUCUUCGUCUUCAUGGUCUUAAUCGUGCUCAACACCUCCAUGAGCCAACAUUCCAAAGAAGUGAUAGUCUCCUUCAUCUCGAACUCGACACGCUGGAGGCCCUCCAACUCCUUGCGGAUGUUUUUGGCCUCCUCAAGGAUGAACUCCUCGAGAGUCAUGAACUUGUCAUCGACCACAUUCAAACGCCGACCUAAUAUCUCCACAACCUGCCUCGCCGUUUCAACCCUUGAAUCCUCUACUCUCCAGGUGUGACGUCAAUGGGCUCUUAGCCGUGGGUCAUCGUCACUUGCUUCGGUAGUUGAAGACGGAUGAAAUGUUAGUGUCUCGCUGUGUGUGGGAUCGAGCAUCAUUUUCUCAUUACUCUUUUGAUGCUUCUUACCCUUGCGGUUCUUCUUUCCUCCCUCCCUCCGAAGGAUGGUGGUGCUAACGACGUUUACAUCUCCUUCGUUGGUUAUUCUGUUAGUACAAACCUUUGCUCUGAUAUCACGUUGUCACGAAAUUAGAGUCUUACUAAAACUCUGUGUAACACUUGACAACUUACUCACUAAUCUUUCAAAAUCUUGCAAGCUCAAGUAAGCUCUUUUAAACUAAGAUCGCUAUGAGAAUGUGAAGAAAGAUUUGGAAGAAGACUUUAUAUUGCUUGGAAGAUUGCUUACACUUUGUUGGAUGAUUUACAAAUGAGUGGCACCUCUACUUAUACUAACACCUAGGGGCUAAAGUGUAAUUAUAAUUAUUUUACAAGUUCCUAAAAUAUUUACACUUUGGUUCCUUUCUAGAAUUAUCUACAAUUUCUAGGAAAUCUUUAUCUAGUCCUUCUACAACUCUCCAAAACUUUUUUGAAGUAUCUAAGGACUUCUGGAGUUUCUAUAAUCCUCUUCAAAAUUCUAGACUCUUCGCCUUUCACCGGAUGCAAAAUCGUACUGAUAAUUGGUGGGACUUAACAAUAGGUCCAUUAUUUUUUAUACUAGCUAAUUAAGAUAUUGCCAAUAUGGCUAAGCUAGCUCAGCCCUAUAAUAUUUAUUUUUAACACCCUAUAUUUUCUUAUUUAUUUGCCUUUUUUCUCUGAGAAGUUAAUUCAUUGCCCUUACACUGUGAAAAAUGUUAAGGCGAUAAUUACUAGCAUAAAUGAUUGAAACUAGAAAGUGGAUCAUAACAUGGAUUUGUUGAAGACUAGAUUUGGAAGUUGAAGUUGAAAUCUUAGUUACUUGUUAUGGAUUUGGAGCGUUGAUGGUUUUGUGCACAACUUUAGUACACAUUGGUUCUAGAGUUGAGUAGUGGGCUGAAAUUUGAAUAGCAAUAUGAACAAAUCCUUUAAACUCUCUAUCCCUUGUAGUUGCAGUAAGCGAAUUUAUGGAGCAUUUCUCACCACUCAAUCACAACCACUAUUAACCAUUCCUGUCCCAACACAAGAAAACAUCACCCGUUUAAUUUUGGAACAAAAAACUGCAAAUCAAGCUCUUCAAACCUUUAGAUGGGCCUCUAACAUUAGCAAUUUCACUCACAAUCACUCCACCUACAGAGCUAUAAUCCACAAGCUCUGCAAUUUUCGGCGUUUUGAUUGUGUCCACCACCUGCUCAACGAAAUGCCUAGCUCAAUUGGGUCAACUCCAGAUGAGGAUAUCUUUGUUACCAUUGUACGUGGUCUUGGUCGUGCUGGAAUGAUUAAACAACUCAUUAAAAUUCCUGAAUUGGUGUCCAAAUUUGAAAAGAAACCGACCCUGAAGCUCUAUAAUGCGAUUCUUGAUGUUCUUGUAAAGGAAGAUAUAGACAUUGCUAGAGCGUUUUAUAGGAUUAAAAUGAUGGGAAAUGGUAUUCAGGGGGAUCAUUAUACUUAUGGGAUUUUGAUGAAAGGACUUUGCUUGACUAAUAGGAUUGGUGAUGGGUUUAAGCUUCUUCAAGUGAUGAAAACUUGUGGCAUUACGCCAAAUACUGUGAUUUACAAUACACUUAUACAUGCACUCUGCAAGAAUGGGAAGGUAGGGAGAGCAAGGAGUUUGAUGAGAGAUUUGGUUGAACCAAGUGACGUGACUUUUAACAUUUUGAUAUCUGCAUAUUGUGGAGAGGGUAGUUUAGUACAGGCUUUGGUGAUGCUGGAAAAGAGCUUUAGUAAAGGGUAUAUUCCUGAUGUUAUUACAGUGACUAAAGUUGUGGGUCUUCUUUGUAACAACGGACGUGUUUCAGAGGCAGUGGAAUUACUAGAAAGAGUUGAGGAAAGAGGAGGUAUUGUUGAUGUUGUGGCUUAUAACACGUUGAUUAAUGGGUUUUGUAGAUUAGGGAAAGUGAAAGUUGGCUGUCGUCUUUUGAAGGAGAUGGAGUUGAAAGGGUGCAUGCCAAAUGCAGAUACCUAUAAUGGCUUGAUAUCUGGCCUUUGUGAAUCCAAGAUGUUGGAUUUGGCACUUGAAAUGUUAAAUGAAAUGAAGAGGGUUGGGAUAAAUUGGAAUUUUGUCACGUACGAUACUCUUAUCCAUGGGUUGUGUUCGGGUGGGAGAGUGGAAAAUGGAUUAAAGAUCUUGGAAGUAAUGAAAGAUGAUAAAGGGGUUUCAACAGUACAUAUUAGUCCGUAUAAUAAUGUUAUAUAUGGGUUUUACAAGGAAAAUCGUUUGGAAGAAGCAGUAGUAUUUCUAUGGAAGAUGGAAAAUUUGUUUCCACGAGCUGUGGAUAGGAGUGUGAGAAUACUUGGUUUCUGUGAAAAUGGCAACAUUGAUGAAGCAAGGAAGGUCUAUGAUCAGAUGGUCAAGGAGGGUGUUAUGCCAAGUGCUCUUGUUUAUGCAAACUUAGUUAGUGGAUAUUGUAGCAAAGAAUGUAUAAAAGGAGCAUUUGAUCUGAUGAACGAGAUGAUUGAACGUGGUUAUCUUCCAGUUGCAUACACAUUAAAUGAUGUGAUAAUUUUGCUUUGCAAGCAGGGUAAAGUUGGAAAGGCGUCUAAGUUGAUGGAGAACAUUAAAGGUAGAGGCUGCUUGCUGGACUCUGGAAGUUACGGUCCGUUCAUUGAUGUCUUCUGUAGUAGAGGAGAUUUCCACAAAGCGUAUAUGUUCUUUCUGCAAAUGGUAGAAAAGAGUAUAGUUCCUGAUUGCCAUUCAUGGAAUAUGUUACUUGUGUGCCUUUGUCAACAAACAACUUGGAUAGAAGGCAAUAACAAGACUUGCCAUUUAACUAGCCAAUUGCAGGCCAUAAUACAAACAUGAUCAGCCACUAGCUAUGGGCUCUUUGACAUCCGUUGUGACCUUUACUAAUCUUUGGUUCUUUCUGAGGCAAGAUUGGUUGAACCAAAUGCAUUUCAAUCUUCAAAAUUGUAGUGUAAGAUUACCCAUUAAUUUUAGAUGAGGCUCUCUCUGGAGACUUAUCCUCAUCCUCUGAUGGGAAGGAUAAAAAGUCUACUUACUGUUGGGGUUUCUGGACUUGCUGAUUAGUUAUGCCUGUGUGUCCAUCAUACUACACAACUACAGUUCACCAAAUACAGUCUAGAAAACCUCCAUAUAUCUAAUGAUAUUCUUUAAUUGUAAAUAUAUGGAAUUUAUUAAAUUAUUCUUAGCAAUUAACAGUAAUAUUAUCUGCUGGGGUUUGGAUCUUCUAUCGGGCUUAAUAUUUUUACAGUAUCAUCUUUUGUUUGCAAAUUUAAUGGAUCAAUGUAAAUAUGUGUUAUGGUCCCUGGUUAUGGAUCUAGUUAUGAGACACUAAAAGAUAAAAUCUGAAGUUUUCUUUUUUCUACCUAUGGUGCUGGCGUUGGUUCGUUAAGAGAGAAUGUGCGAUCUCUUGAAUUUGAAGUACUAAAAAACUUGACUAAUUUUCUACCUCAUUUCAUUGAAUGCAAAUAACCCUAAAUACUACACUAGUGGUUUAACCCAUCUAAAAUCAAGGAAGUAACUUCGUAUUAUAACUAAAAUGAGAAAGUGGAGGAAUAACCUCCUUACUGCAACAACUGCUACAUAGAAAUAAGAAAAAUAAAUAACUAAAAAGCUGUAAUAAUAUACUGCAAACACGGCUGGACAGAAAUAAAAAAUAAAUAACUUAUAAGCUGAAGCAAUCUACUAUCAGAUUUCCUUAAAUCUUCCAUGUGUAGACCAUUGGUAAAUAGAAAAGGUGCUAACAAUAUGCUUUACUUGAUUUGGUACAAAAUUUGAUCUUUGAGGGAAUUAUUAACAUGCUAUGUUAAGUUUUCAUGUUGUGGGUUUUAGAUGGUUGUUUAUGGUUGAAAAAUGUGUUCAUACUUUGGUGUACUUGCUGUUUGUCAGUAAUCUGGUGAAAUCAAUGAAAUGUUAUCUUGCAUCUGUGCAUAAUGUUUGUGUUUUGUUGGAGUGUGUUGUCUGGGCUACAGUUUUCAUAAAUCCAGGUGGAAAUGAUCCCUAUUAUAACUAUAGAAUUCACUAAGUUACCGCCGUUUUUCAUAAAAUCUAAUUCACAAUCAUCGUUAAUGUGAGUCCUGCCAAACAUUGUCUUUCCUGCUUUGUAUUUUACAAGAUCAUCACACACAUUACCAUCAUUUUUUCAUACUUAACUGCAGGUUUUAGGACUCCUGGCUGAUUGUGGCUAAGAUAUAGACUAGUACUGCACUGUAUUCAACACUUACUGCUCCAGAUUUCUAGGACUGUUCACCAAUGAAAAUUAAUAAUGCACGUGAAGGUUUAUCAUUUAGUGUUACUUACAACUUUGCAAGAUUGACUUGCACAAGGAUCCUGUAGUAUUUCAAAGAUUCUUUCUUCAGGGCAUCCUUUCACCUUUCAUUAGCCAUGGUUAAACAGAUUACAUCAGUGUUUUUUGUUUCUUCUGGCUAUGCUAUCCACCUCAGCAAAGGAUCCUAAUCAGAGUAUAAUGAGCAUGGAGAGUGCAAGGGUGGAGUUCAACUCAGAACAAGAGAAUAUAAAAGAAGCUACACCUAGCAGCCCCUUUACUAGUAAGAGAAGUGUGUAAGAACCUCAGAUAGUGCAAGUCAACCCUCACAGCACCCCGGAAAAAUUAUAUUGUAAAUGUAGAGCUGGAAGUCUGCAGCUCCAUAAUACUGGAGCUUUAUAACUUCUCGAAGACAUUGCUUGUGAUCCAUAGGUUCAUUAGUUUGCACAAUCUCGUCAAUCAUAUAACUUUAUAACUUGAGGAGUCGUGGUAUACAAACAGUUUGCUUGCUGUUUGUCAUACUACAAAAUGUGCUUUUUCCAUAUUGCUAGCUGUUGCAUUAAUCUGAUGGUUCCAUUGUUUUUGGUAACACUUUAUAGUGUAUGUAGAUGGCUAGUAGGAAACGAAGCAUGUCAAAAGAUGUAGAUAUAUAUGCAUGUCCUGUACAAGGAAUUGGAUGGAGCUUCAUGCCCUAUAUGCAUGGAUCAUCCACACAAUGCUGUUAUUCUCCUUUGUAGCUCUCAUGAUAAGGGAUGCCGGUCAUACAUUUGUGAUACAAGUUAUAGGCAUUCAAAUUGUCUGGAUCGUUUCAAAAAACUAAAAGCCGAAAGUAGGGACAUUCCUCCCAUUAUGACACAGGGGAACAUGAAUAUUGUUGUUGAGACACCCGCUGAACACUUUGGUAUAAAAUUAAAUACUUGAAUAUAUAAUAUCAAGAUCUUGAACACGAUAAUCUUAUAUAGAGAUCGUUAGCGGUACAUAUUUGAUGAGGAAGACAUCAUCACACACAAAAGCAGAAGCAUUAGUUGUAAAUUGAUUUCUAACUCUUUGCCCUAACUUUAUGUUACCACAACCGUCAGUGAUGAAAUUAUCAGAGAGAAUAUGUGGUAAUCCUAAUAGAUAGAGGGAGGACCAAUUUACAGAGGUUAUGAUUUAAUCUGAUACGUCCAUCAAGUAAUCAAUGUAAGGACGAAAUCUAUUCCUUAUUAAAUACUAUUUAUGGUAUUACUUGGCUUACAAGUAAACUUGAGCUAUAAGUAAGAAAUAAUUAAUAAUAAUAAUAAUAAUUCUUACAUUCUCCCACUUGAUCCAAUAACCAUAUAACAUUAAUAUUAAAAAGUAUUAGUUGCGCAUACAAUAAAUCUCUUCUAUAAUGUCCAUCAUACAUUCCACAAUAUAACAAACUACUAAUGCGAGUUAUGAUGGUUGUACAUAAAUUUUAAGUUGGAUACUUACUUCCAUAUACUACUACAUUAGCAACUUAUCAUACUAGGUUCAUAAGCUAUAAAAACAUAUAACAUUACAGUCCAUAAUAAUGUCUCAUAGAGACUCAUCUUGUAAUUUCUCAAAAUAAUAAUGUGUACACCAUUAUGAGAAACAAGAUGUUCAUGAAUGUAUAUCGGAAACACAUAAUUUGAGCUCCAAAGUGUAAAACAUCGUAAAUGUAUCAAUCAUAAGUACAACCAAGACCAUUCUUUGAACAUGUUCUUUAAAUGUCUUUGGUUGUAAGUCUUUUGUUAACAGAUCUGCAAUCAUGAGAUCAAUUAUAAUAUUCUUAAGUAAACACUCUUUGUUUCCGAAUUUCUUCCUUGACAGUAAAGUACUUUAAUUUCAUAUGUUUGAAAGAUUUGGAGUACUUAUCAUUCUUAGAGAAGAUUACUGCUGCAACAUUAUCACAAUAAGUUUUCAGAGGCUUGGUAAUGAUGUCGACAACCCCAAGUCCUGAAAUAAAGUUUCGCAACCAUAAUAUAUGAAUUGUGGCUUCAUACAUGCCAUAAACUUUCUUUGAAGGUUUUCAGUGAUCAAUUCCAGGUGUACAUUGAUAUCUUCCCAGCAUUUCGACCACAAAGCUAAUAUAUGGUCUUGUGCAAGUUUGAACAACAUCAAACUUCCAACAAUAGAAGAUUAAGGAAUUAAGACCGUUUCCUUUCAUCCUACAUCAUUCUUUGGGCGUAACACGAGAUUUAAAUUCGUCCUUUUUUGUAGGAACUAUUCUUGGUGAACAAUUGUUCACGUUAAAUCUCUCUAGAACUUUUUUUUGACAUAUCUAGUUUAAGACAGUCAGAAUAAUUCUUGUGAUCUAUCAUGAAAUAUUUCUAUCCCUAUCACAUAGGAUAUUUUACCCAUAUCUUUCAUUUCAAAGUUCAUAGAGAGAAAAUCAUUUGUCUCACACAAUUAUGUCUAAAUCAUUAGCAACAAGUAAAAUGUCAUCAACAUACAGGACUAAAAAUGUAAACUUACUCCCACUGAUCUUUUGGUAUAUACACGGAUCAACAAUAAUUUUCUUAAAUUCAAAAGUUGUUAUGGUAUCAUUAAACUUUAUAUACCAUUUUCGUAUGUUGACUUCUUUAGUUUACACACUAUUUGAUUUUUUCUUUAAUUUUGAAACCCUUUGAUUGGCCUCAUAUAAACAUCCUCAUUUGAGGUCUACAUUAAGAAAGACACUUUUCACAUUCAUUUGAUGUAAUUCUAAAUCAUAAUGAGUUACUGAAACCAAAAUAAUUCUUAAUGAGUCUUUCUUUGAGACCGGCGAAAAGGUCUCUUCAUAAUCAAUGCCUCUUUUUUUUUUGAGUGUAUCUCUUGGCAACAAGUCUGAAUUUAUAUCAUUCAAUAUUGCCAUAUGAAUCGCGUUUAAUUUUUAAAAUCUAUCUACACUCGAUUAUUUCAGAACUUUUUGAUAAUUGAACGAGAUCUCAAACGUUGUUGUAUUCCAUGAAUUUUAAUUCUUUCAUUCAUGACAUCAUCCAUUUAUCAGACUCAUUAUUUUCUGUGGCUUGUGAAAAUGAAUCUUUAUUAAUUCCAAUGUCAAAAUCUGACGCUUGCAACUAAAUCACAUCAUGACCAAUUUUCUUUAUGGCGUUGUUUUUUGUUCAUUUGCGGCACAUACUUGUGAGUUAGUUCUUCUUGAAGCGUUUCACCCAAAUGUUGUUCAACAUUGUUAAAGUGUUCUUCAGCAAGAGGAACAACAUUUUUGAUUGGUGCGGAAGUAGGUACAUUCAUGGGCGAUGAAAUAUUUACCUUACCUCAUUAAUUUCCACACUUUAUCGUUCAACACUCCCACCAACUUCACCAUUCUCAAGGAAUUUUACAAAUAGACUUGGACAUUGUUCUGAUUCAUUGCAAUUUCCAUAGCACCACCUCUAUUUGACCUAAUUAAUGAUUUUCACUUUUCUAUCUAAUUGUCUUUCAACCUCAUUAACGUACACUUUGAGAGUGUCCGUUGCUUGAAAUUUUUCUUUCAACAAAUAGAUAAAUCCAUAAUGUGAAUAAUCGACGAAGGUGAUAAAAUAUCUUUCUCCACCAAAAGAUGGAACAAUAAAGGAUCCACAUAUAUCAUUGUGAAUAAUUUCAAGAAGUUGAAUGUUCAUUGUAGCACCCUUUUUUGAUAUGCUUGGUUUGUUUACUUUUAAUGCAAUCCAAUCAUAUAUCAAGAUCAUUAAAAUUCAAAUUCGAAAAAAUCUUGUUCUUUACUAACUUUUUAAAUCUUUCUUUCAAUACAUGACCCAAAAAUUUAUGCCAAAAAUAAGCAUAACUUUCAUUUAGUGAACUAUUUCUAAUUAUUAUCUAGUUUCAAUUUAUAUAAAUCAUCAAUAAGAACACCAAAAUUAUAAAAAUAGUAUUUUUAUAUAAAUUGAAACAACUAUGUCUAAACUUAAAUCAAAUCUAAAAACAUCAAGUCUUGAAAGAGAAAUCAAAUUUCUAAAAACUGAAGGAACAUAAAGAGUCUAUAAUAGAUCAAAGUGAUGGCCAAUCUCCAAGAUCAAACGAUAAGUCCCUAUUCCUUAAAUUUUAGCCUUGCGAUUUUCCAUGAACAAGAAUAUUUUUUUAUUUAUUUGUUUGGAUUCAUAAUUUGGAUCGUAGUGAAUUCCUGCAAAAUAGUGAAUACAUGAGUAGUUGCACCAAAAUCAAGCCACCAAGUAUUAUUAGGAACUUCAACUAAAUUUGAUUUGAAACAUACAAAUGCACUAAAUGUAUCUUUCUUUUCAAAUCAAGCUUUAUGUUUCUGGUAAUCUUUCUGAUAGUGUCCUUCCUUUUUACAAAAACGACAUACAUCAGCCUUGAGUUCCUUAUAAACAUUCUAUGAAAUUUAGUGGAUAUUUUUUUUUCAAUUAUUAUUAUUUAUUUUAUUUAAUUUUUUUCUUAAAAAAAACUUGUUGGCUUUUACUUUAAGUCCUUUACCAGCUCCUUGACCCAUGAGGUUAAUGGAAUGAUCUCCUUGUUUCUUAAGUCUUGACUCUUCUUGAGUAAGCAUAAAUUCAUUAACAUCCCACUUAUCCUUAAUCGUGUUAUAGUUCAUUUGGAAUGGUCCAUACUCAAGAGGCAAUGAGUUCAGAAUAAACUGAACCAAGAAGGUGUCAUACACUUUCAUCCCCAAGGUCGAAAGUCUUGCUGCAAUGUUAGUCAUCUCGAUGAUAUGAUUUUGCAUACUACACGACCCAUCAAAUUUCAUAAUCAUGAGUUUAGUCACUAGUGUACUAGCGAGACUUGUUAGCAGAACAAAAACAUUCUUCCACAAACUUCAGGUAUUCCCUGGCACUUUCUGUUUGUGGAAUAGUACUUUUUAAUGUUGUUAGCAACAGUCAUUCGCAUAAACAUAAGGCUCAAGCUGUUAGAGCGCUCCUAUGAUUUAUGAAAGGACUUUUCAUCUUUACUGCUCUUAUCAAUAAUGGCAAUGGGUUUGUCAUUCAGCAUAGCCAAUUCAAGAUCCAUCACACGAAAGUGAAAUUGGACUUGUUCAUGUCAUUCAGAGAAGUUUAAUCCAUUGAACACAUUAACAGAUGAAACAUGCGAAUGAAAAUGUAUAACUGCAAAUAAAUACAUGUUCACAUAUAAAAAAUAAUGUGAACUCAGUAAAACGAUAAAAGUACAUUGUAAUUCGUUUUUGGAUAGAUACUACAACAUUAUCAUAAUUUAAAUGCCAUUUUAAAAAAAAUAAAUCUUUAAUAGGAAAUUAACUAAUUUUAACCAAACACAUAUGACAUCUUUGGAUAUACAAUAUAUGUUUGACUGAAAAUAUUAAUUUACCUCAUAAUUUUUCACUAUUUGUAGGAUGAAAGAUUCACAUUUGGGUAAAUUUUUUAAGUUCUAGCAAUAGUGAAAGUCAAUUUAUAUAUUUAUUUCUCAAAUAUAGGCAUUUAAUUAACUUUCAUAGAUAAAUGACAAUUUUAUGAGUGCAUAUUUUUCUUAACCAUACUAGUUUAACCACUUUGGUGACUAACAAGUUAUAUGAAUAUAAAUGCGUACAUAAUCUCAUAAAAUUUUGUGCAUAUGAAUAAUUUUAAACAUUUUAGUUUGGUCACUUUGGUGACCAACAAACUUUAGAUUCAUAAUACAUGCAUCAAGUAAUCAUAAAUAUGAUAUGUGUAGACGUUAAUUUUCUCUUGUUUGGUCACUUUGGUGACGAACAAACUAUAUAAAUACAAAGUACACGUAAUAUCAUAAAAAUUUUGUGCAUGUGAAUAAUUUCAAACAUUUUAGUUUGACCACUUUGGUGACUAACAAACUAUAGAAAUAUAAUAUAUACAUCAAGUGAUCAUAAACAUAUUUGUAGACGUUAAUAUCUUUAGUGUGGCCACUUUUGUGACUAACAAACUAUAGAAACAUAUUACAUGCAUCAAAUAAUCAUAAACAUGAUAUGUGUAGACGUUAAUUUCUUUAGUUUGGCCACUUUGAUGACUAAAAAACUAUAGAAACAUAAUAUACAUAUUAUUUAUUGUUUAGUAUAAUGACCACUUUAAUUUAUUGCACAAUCUAAAAUAAACAUAAUUGUUACAUUAUGGGGUUGCAUCAAAUUCUAAACUUUUCACGAGUGAUGAUAACAAAGUAUUACUUGAUUAACCAUUAACCCCUUGCUCUUAAUAAAUCAUAAGAUAACGUAACUUACAAAAAUUUAUAAGUAAUGACGCUUUAAUAUUUCAACAUUCUCUUGUAAAAGUUUAUUAGGACAUCAAUUAUUGGCUAAGCCAAAAAGUUUGUCAAUUGUCAGUUGAACAUUACUUUGCAUCAACAUAUUGUAUUAUAAACUUGAGGUUAAAAUAACUAUUAGUCUUCCAAAUAUUAUCAGUAGUGGCGAAAAAUUUUGAGACCAUCCUCAUUCAAAAUUUUGGAUCUAUCCCUCAUGCAAUUUUUCUAAAUAUGCCUAUUUUAUAUACGAAGAUUAUCGGUUCAAAUAAUCUAGGUUCUGAUGUCACAUGUAAGAUUAAAUACUUGAAUAUAUAAUAUCAGGAUCUUAAACACGAUAAUUUUACAUAGAGAUCGUUAGGAGUACAUAUCGUUAGGGUACAUACCUGAUGAGGAAGACAUCAUCACAGACAAAAGCGGAAGCGUUAGUUGUAAAUUGGUUUCUACUUCCUUGCCCUAACUUUAUGUUACCACAACCGUUACUGAUGAAAUUAUUGUAGAGAAUAUGUGGUAACCCUAAUGGGUGGAGAAAGGAUCAAUUUAUGGAGGUUAUGAUUUAAUCUGGUACGCCCAUCAAGUAACCAAUGUACAAACGAGAUUUAUUCCUUAUUAAAUACUAUUUAUGGUAUUACUUGGGUUACAAGUAAACUUGGGAUAUAAGCAAGAAGUAAUUCUUGGAUCUCAGAAAUUUAAUUGAUCGUACUGUUGUUCACGGAUAUCACGACAUACCUGCCAAGGAAGUUGUAGAAACUGGUGCAUUUCCUGGAGAUAGUAAUAGAGAUAAUCACAUGGAGAUGCAGGAAGGUGCUAUACAAACUUCAGAUGUUGUUACUGUGUGGGGAAGUAGUGAUGAGACAGCGAAUGCUGACAACUUAUCUCACUAAAUAUUGAAAUAGAAGUGUCCUAUGUGCUGUGGAGACGUAUUAGGCUGGAAGGUAGUCGAAGAAACCAGAAAGUAUCUAAAUUUGAAGCAUAGAAGCUUCUCUCAUGAAUCAUGUUCAUUCCUCGUGUAACUACACAAUAUUGCGGCAGCAUGCUAGGAGAGAUCACCCAACAGCACGCCCUGCUGAUAUUGACCUUUCAAGACAGAGAGCUUGGAGACGGCUCGAGAAUCAAAGAGAGUACGAUGACAUUGUCAGUGCAGUUCUCGCUGCCAUGCCUGGUGCAGUCAUGUUUGGAUAUUAUGUGAUUGAGAAUAGAGACAGGCUAUCUGUUUAAAGGGAACGAGGCUCAGGUGCAACUGGAAGAUGGUUGAGUACCUUCUUCUUGUUUCAGAUGAUUGGCUCAAUGGAUCCAAUAUCGAAGGCAAGAGGUGGCAGAUUUUCGUAAAGGCACUGUCGAUCCACUAGACAUUUAUCUAGGCGCCGCUAUCCUUGGGGUGAAAACCUGCUUGGUCUACAAGAUGA
rnacentral:lncRNA from 1 species